CCUACGGGUGGCAGCAGUGGGGAAUAUUGCACAAUGGGCGAAAGCCUGAUGCAGCAACGCCGCGUGAGUGAUGAAGGCCUUCGGGUCGUAAAGCUCUGUCCUCAAGGAAGAAAAUGACGGUACGUGAGGAGGAAGCCCCGGCUAACUACGGGCCAGCAGCCGCGGUAAUACGUAGGGGGCUAGCGUUAUCCGGAAUUACUGGGCGUAAAGGGGGCGUAGGUGGUUUCUUAAGUCAGCGGUGAAAGGCUACGGCUCAACCGUAGUAAGCCUUUGAAACUGGGGAACUUGAGUGCAGGAGGGGUGAGUGGAAUUCCUAGUGUAGCGGUGCAAUGCGUAGAUAUUAGGCGGACCACCAGUUGCGAAGGCGGCUCUCUGGACUGUAUCUGACACUGAGGCACGAACGCGUGGGGAGCAAACAGGAUUAGAUACCCUGGUAGUC
rnacentral:rRNA from 1 species